GAUGAACGCUGGCGGCGUGCCUAAUACAUGCAAGUCGAGCGAACGGACGAGAAGCUUGCUUCUCUGAUGUUAGCGGCGGACGGGUGAGUAACACGUGGAUAACCUACCUAUAAGACUGGGAUAACUUCGGGAAACCGGAGCUAAUACCGGAUAAUAUUUUGAACCGCAUGGUUCAAAAGUGAAAGACGGUCUUGCUGUCACUUAUAGAUGGAUCCGCGCUGCAUUAGCUAGUUGGUAAGUUAACGGCUUACCAAGGCAACGAUGCAUAGCCGACCUGAGAGGGUGAUCGGCCACACUGGAACUGAGACACGGUCCAGACUCCUACGGGAGGCAGCAGUAGGGAAUCUUCCGCAAUGGGCGAAAGCCUGACGGAGCAGCGCCGCGUGAGUGAUGAAGGUCUUCGGAUCGUAAAACUCUGUUAUUAGGGAAGAACAUAUGUGGAAGUAACUGUGCACAUCGUGACGGUACCUAAUCAGAAAGCCACGGCUAACUACGUG
rnacentral:rRNA from 1 species